AUUGAACGCUGGCGGCAGGCCUAACACAUGCAAGUCGAGCGAGCGGCGGACGGGUGAGUAAUGUCUGGGAAACUGCCUGAUGGAGGGGGAUAACUACUGGAAACGGUAGCUAAUACCGCAUACCAUCAGAUGUGCCCAGAUGGGAUUAGCUAGUAGUUGGGGUAACGGCUCACCUAGGCGACGAUCCCUAGCUGGUCUGAGAGGAUGACCAGCCACACUGGAACUGAGAAAAGGUCCAGACUCCGCCGGGAGGCAGCAGUGGGGAAUAUUGGACAAUGGGCGCAAGCCUGAGAAAGCAAGGCCGCGUGGGUGAAGAAGGCCUGCGGGUUGGAAAGCACUUUCAGCGGGGAGUCGUUACCCGCAGAAGAAGCAACGGCUAACUCCGUGCCAGCAGCCGCGGUAAUUC
rnacentral:rRNA from 1 species